UCCAGGGUAGACGAAACGGUAAAGUCAAGAAUUUUUGGUAUUCUCAUUUGGGUGUUCGAGUCGCCCUCCUGGAA